rnacentral:rRNA from 1 species
UACGUAGGGGGCAAGCGUUGUCCGGAAUCAUUGGGCGUAAAGAGCGUGUAGGCGGCCAGAUAAGUCCGCUGUGAAAUCUCGAGGCUCAACUUCGAGCUGUCGGUGGAAACUGUCUGGCUAGAGUCCGGAAGAGGAGAAUGGAAUUCCUGGUGUAGCGGUGAAAUGCGCAGAUAUCAGGAAGAACACCUAUGGCGAAAGCAGCUCUCUGGGACGGUACUGACGCUGAGACGCGAAAGCGUGGGGAGCGAACAGG